rnacentral:rRNA from 1 species
CCUACGGGCCGCAGCAGUGGGGGAUAUUGCACAAUGGGGGGAACCCUGAUGCCGCGCCUCCUCUUGUGUGCCGAAGCGCCCCGGCGCGUAAAGCCCUGUCAGCAGGGAAGAAGAAGGACGGUACCUGACCGAGAAGCCCCGGCUAACUACGUGCCAGCAGCCGCGGUAAUACGUAGGGGGCAAGCGUUAUCCGGAUUUACUGGGUGUAAAGGGGGCGCAGACGGCGAUGCAAGCCAGGAGUGAAAGCCCGGGGCCCAACCCCGGGACUGCUCUUGGAACUGCGUGGCUGGAGUGCAGGAGGGGCG